UCCGUAGGUGAACCUGCGGAGGGAUCAUUACUGAGUGAGGGCCUUCGGGCUCGACCUCCAACCCUUUGUGAACACAACUUGUUGCUUCGGGGGCGACCCUGCCGUUUCGACGGCGAGCGCCCCCGGAGGCCUUCAAACACUGCAUCUUUGCGUCGGAGUUUAAGUAAAUUAAACAAAACUUUCAACAACGGAUCUCUUGGUUCUGGCAUCGAUGAAGAACGCAGCGAAAUGCGAUAAGUAAUGUGAAUUGCAGAAUUCAGUGAAUCAUCGAAUCUUUGAACGCACAUUGCGCCCCUUGGUAUUCCGAGGGGCAUGCCUGUUCGAGCGUCAUUUCACCACUCAAGCCUCGCUUGGUAUUGGGCGCCGCGGUGUUCCGCGCGCCUCAAAGUCUCCGGCUGAGCUGUCCGUCUCUAAGCGUUGUGAUUUCAUUAAUCGCUUCGGAGCGCGGGCGGUCGCGGCCGUUAAAUCUUUUACAAGGUUGACCUCGGAUCAGGUAGGGAUACCCGCUGAACUUAAGCAUAUCAAUAAGCGGAGGAAAAGAAACCAACAGGGAUUGCCCUAGUAACG
rnacentral:rRNA from 1 species